GACGAACGCUGGCGGCGUGCUUAACACAUGCAAGUCGAACGGAAAGGCCCUGCGUUUGUGGGGUGCUCGAGUGGCGAACGGGUGAGUAACACGUGAGUAACCUGCCCUUGACUGUGGGAUAACUUCAGGAAACUGGGGCUAAUACCGGAUAGGAGCUCCUGCUGCAUGGUGGGGGUUGGAAAGUUUCGGCGGUUGGGGAUGGACUCGCGGCUUAUCAGCUUGUUGGUGGGGUAGUGGCUUACCAAGGCUUUGACGGGUAGCCGGCCUGGGAGGGUGACCGGCCACAUUGGGACUGAGAGACGGCCCAGAGUGCUACGGGGGGCAGCAGUGGGGAAUAUUGCACAAUGGGCGGAAGCCUGAUGCAGCAACGCCGCGUGCGGGAUGACGGCCUUCGGGUUGUAAACCGCUUGCGCCUGUGACGAAGCGUGAGUGACGGUAACGGGUAAAGAAGCACCGGCUAACUACGUG
rnacentral:rRNA from 1 species